rnacentral:rRNA from 1 species
AUUGAACGCUGGCGGCAGGCCUAACACACGCAAGUCGAGCGGCUGACGGGAGCUUGCUCCUUGAUUCAGCGGCGGACGGGUGAGUAAUGCCUAGGAAUCUGCCUGGUAGUGGGGGACAACGUUUCGAAAGGAACGCUAAUACCGCAUACGUCCUACGGGAGAAAGCAGGGGACCUUCGGGCCUUGCGCUAUCAGAUGAGCCUAGGUCGGAUUAGCUAGUUGGUGGGGAAAUGGCUCACCAAGGCGACGAUCCAUAACUGGUCUGAGAGGAUGAUCAGUCACACUGGAACUGAGACACGGUCCAGACUCCUACGGGAGGCAGCAGUGGGGAAUAUUGGACAAUGGGCGAAAGCCGGAUUCAGCCAGGCCGCGUGUGUGGAGAAGGUCUUCGGAUUGUAAAGCACUUUAAGUUGGGAGGAAGGGCAGUAAGUUAAUACCUGGCUGUUUUGACGUUACCGACAGAAUAAGCACCGGCUAACUCUGUGCCAGCCGCCGCCGUAACAC